rnacentral:lncRNA from 1 species
AUGAAUAACCAUGUAUCUUCAGAACUAUCUACCAUGAAGCAAAAAGGGACCAUCAAGCUCAUUAUUUUAUAUUUCAUACAAUUUAUAGAUAUCACUUUAUGCUAUUUUAACAUAUAUUCCAUUUUAAUUUUUGUCUGAGUCAAGACAAGAAAAACCAAACUAAGUUAAAGCAAAGCCUACAAAUUCAAAACCUGAGUCUAUACAAAUCUGUUAGCAGUUUGAGUGGCUGGGCUUCAAUAUUAUACUCUGGAUGUGAUACAAUAGAUAAAGUUUUUUACGUCUGUAAAAAAAAGGAAGAGCAAAAGACUCUUGGGAACAUGUGAAAUCUUAAAUGAAGAUUAAGUACAACCAAAUGUAAACAUAUUUUAAAAGGUUCUUCUUGGACAUCAUAAUUUGCUCUCCUAUGAAGAUGUCAUCGUUUGAGCCUUUAAUGUUGGAAAUAGCUUACAGAUGUUGGGGCAGAAACCAAAGACCAACAUUGCCAUGUUCUGUGAGACCACGUCCAAGUGGAUGAUUGCUGGAUAGGUAUGUUUCAUGCAUAACAUUUAGUUCAUAAAAUUAUAUGCUACUUUAGGAGGUCCAGGGCCCAUGGAUUAAUGAAACAAAAGUAACUAAUCUCAUUGCUAGUAAAGAAUUAUUGGAAACAAAGUUGAAAGACAUAGUUUAUUUGGUCCCACACCUGUGACACAUCAUCACUGUCAAUGGGAAGCCACUGACCUGUCCCAAUUUCCCAAGGUUGUUAUCAUGGACAUCAUGGCUGCAGUAGAAAGUGAAGGUGAGUGUGGAAAACAGAUCCCAAAGUGACCAGUGCCCUCGGUUAUUGCAGUAAUCAUGUUCAUGAGUAGACACACAGGACUUCCAAAGGGAGUCAUCAUCUCGCAUAGAAACAUCAUUACUGGUAUUACUGGGAUGGCAGAAAGGAUUCCCAGACUGGAGGAGGAAGAUGACUACAUUGGAUAUUUACCUGUGGCCCAUGUUCUAGAAUUAAGCUUUGAGCUUCUUUGUUUUUCUCAUGGAUGCCUGCUUGGCUCCUCUUCACCCCAGACUUCAGUGGAUCAGUCUUUAAAAGUAAAAAAUGGGAGCAAAGGGUGUACUUCUGGGUUGAGACCAACACUGAUGGCAGCUGUUCUGGAAAUCAUGGAUCAGAUCUACCAAAAUGUCAUGAAUUAAGUGUAUGAAAUCAGUAGUCUUCAACACAAUCUGUUUAUUCUGGCUUAUAAUUAUAAAAUGGAACACAUUUCAAAAGAGCAUAGUACUGGAUUGUGUGACAGCUUUGUUUUCUGGAAACUGUGAAGCUAGCUAGGUGGAAAUAUUCAGCUUUUAUUGUAUGAAAGUGCUCCACUUUCUGCAACACGCAGCAAGUUCAUGAAUACAGACUCACUGAACCUACAGGGGCUGGAACAAUUACAGAUGUGUGGAUUACAAGACUGGCAGAAGUGAGAGUCCCAUUAGUUUGCUGUGAAAUUAAAUUAAAGAACUGGGAGGAAGGUGGAUACUUUAAUACUGAAAAACCACAUCCCAGAGGUAGAAUUCUUAUCGGUGGCUAAAAUGUGACAAUGGGAUGCUACAGAAAUGAAGCAGAAACAAAAGCUGAUUUAUUUGAAGAUGGAAAUGGACAGAAGUGAUUAUGUCCUAGAGAUGCUGAAGAGUUUGAUGGUUGUUUACAGAUGAUCGAUCAUAAAAAGGACCUUGUAAAACUACAGGCAGGAGACUAUGUUUCCCUUGGGAAAGUAGAGCCAACUCUGAAGAAUCUCCCAGUAAUAGAUGACGUUUGUGCAUUUGCAAACAGUUAAUUGUUCUUAUGUCAUUGGAUUUGUUGUGCCAAAUCAAAAGGAACUAACAGAACUAACUUGAAAGAAAGGACUUACAGGAACUUGAGAGUAGCUCUCUAACAGUUGUGAAACAGAAGAUGAGGUG